CCUACGGGUGGCAGCAGUCGAGAAUCAUUCACAAUGGGGGAAACCCUGAUGGUGCGACGCCGCGUGGGGGAAUGAAGGUCUUCGGAUUGUAAACCCCUGUCAUGUGGGAGCAAAUUAAAAAGAUAGUACCACAAGAGGAAGAGACGGCUAACUCUGUGCCAGCAGCCGCGGUAAUACAGAGGUCUCAAGCGUUGUUCGGAAUCACUGGGCGUAAGGCGUGCGUAGGCUGUUUCGUAAGGCGUGUGUGAAAGGCGCGGGCUCAACCCGCGGACGGCACAUGAUACUGCGAGACUAGAGUAAUGGAGGGGGAACCGGAAUUCUCGGUGUAGCAGUGAAAUGCGUAGAUAUCGAGAGGAACACUCGUGGCGAAGGCGGGUUCCUGGACAUUAACUGACGCUGAGGCACGAAGGCCAGGGGAGCGAAAGGGAUUAGAUACCCUGGUAGUC
rnacentral:rRNA from 1 species